rfam:Bacillus galactosidilyticus strain PL133 scaffold000086, whole genome shotgun sequence.
AAAUGAGGAUCAAAGGCUAAGUGGCGCAACCGCCUUCGUAACCUACAUCCUGUAGG